CUAUGCGCCUUGCCAGCCGCUCAGGUGUGCCAGCCGCCGCGGUAAUACGGAGGAUGCGAGCGUUAUCCGGAUUUAUUGGGUUUAAAGGGUGCGCAGGCGGAUUUUUAAGUCAGCGGUCAAAUCGUGGGGCUCAACCCCAUCCAGCCGUUGAAACUGGGGAUCUAGAGCGUGCGAGAGGUAUGCGGAAUGCGUGGUGUAGCGGUGAAAUGCAUAGAUAUCACGCAGAACCCCGAUUGCGAAGGCAGCAUACCGGUGCACAACUGACGCUCAGGCACGAAAGCGUGGGUAUCGAACAGG
rnacentral:rRNA from 1 species